rnacentral:lncRNA from 1 species
UUCCUAGAAUUCCUUAUGUAUUCAAAGAUUCCUUUUAAAUUGAAUAUGCUGAAACCUUUAUAACAAGCUUAUAAAUGUCAAAAACUUUAAAGUAAAUCGCCAAAUCUGGAAGCAGUAGCGUAAAAAGUGACAAAAAUUCUGUUUGCUACAGUAAUUUCCCGAAAUGAAAAUUAAGAUCCUGAUCAAUUGGUCAUAGGUUUGCGGAUAAAAUCAAUUGGGAUUUGUGUGCAAUGAGAAGCUGCUUCUUUUGACACCAAGUUUUUGUAAAUCCACCACCGGACGCCGGAGUCAUGGCCAAAAAAUGGUGACGAAAAUACUAUUCACAGAGAGAAAGUGAGUGAAAGGGGAGGGAGAAGAGAGAGAACUUACUUCGGGGGUCGCCGGAGGGGGAGGGGGG